rnacentral:rRNA from 1 species
ACGCACGCUGGCGGCGUGCUUAACACAUGCCAGUCGCACGGAAAGGCCCUGCUUUUGUGGGGUGCUCGAGUGGCGAACGGGUGAGUAACACGUGAGUAACCUGCCCUUGACUUUGGGAUAACUUCAGGAAACUGGGGCUAAUACCGGAUAGGAGCUCCUGCUGCAUGGUGGGGGUUGGAAAGUUUCGGCGGUUGGGGAUGGACUCGCGGCUUAUCAGCUUGUUGGUGGGGUAGUGGCUUACCAAGGCUUUGACGGGUAGCCGGCCUGAGAGGGUGACCGGCCACAUUGGGACUGAGAUACGGCCCAGACUCCUACGGGAGGCAGCAGUGGGGAAUAUUGCACAAUGGGCGGAAGCCUGAUGCAGCAACGCCGCGUGCGGGAUGACGGCCUUCGGGUUGUAAACCGCUUUCGCCUGUGACGAAGCGUGAGUGACGGUAAUGGGUAAAGAAGCACCGGCUAACUACGUG